GUGGGGAAUAUUGGACAAUGGCCGGAAGGCUGAUCCAGCCAUGCCGCGUGCGGGAGGACGGCCCUAUGGGUUGUAAACCGCUUUUGCGAGGGAGCAAUAAGGUCCACGUGUGGAUCGAUGAGAGUACCUCGCGAAUAAGCAUCGGCUAACUCCGUGCCAGCAGCCGCGGUAAUACGGAGGAUGCAAGCGUUAUCCGGAUUUAUUGGGUUUAAAGGGUGCGUAGGCGGUUUGCUAAGCGGGAGGUGAAAUGCCGGCGCUCAACGUCGGAAGUGCCUCCCGAACUGGUGGACUGGAAUGACUCUGCCGUGGGAGGAAUGUGUAGUGUAGCGGUGAAAUGCUUAGAGAUUACACAGAACACCGAUUGCGAAGGCAUCUCACGAAGGGUUGAUUGACGCUGAGGCACGAAAGCGUGGGGAUCAAACAGG
rnacentral:rRNA from 1 species